GGCGGUUUCAAUGGCGAUUGAGGGUGGUUCCUCCUAUGAAGUUACCUCAAUUCACAGGAUGCCUGAGCUCGUCGAGACGGUAGCCAAUCAGAUGGACUCUCCAGCCCAUUCUCUUUCAACAGGUGGCUGGUGUGACAGAGGAAGAUGCAGAGGGCGGGAAGAAAUGGAAACGGAUGAUCCGCUGUGGCGACCCCUUACGGGAGCAGCUGAAAGUACAAACAACUGAUGGUUUUUGAAAAAUCUACAUCAAAACACAUUUUCUGCUUCAACAGUGACAGUAGAGAGAGAGACAGGAAA